UAGGAAAAGCUUAAGGGAAAGAUUUUUCUGUGAGCUGGUGCUGAUGCUGUAUGUUCCAGCAGAUCUUCAAAGAAAUGUAAGAUAAUUUAUUGAAAUAAGGAAUAAACCUUUUUCUGAGUUCUACUUGAUUACCUAAAAGUUACAUUUUUAUAAAGAUAAAAUUUGUACAAUUCAAAUAUAUUUAAAUAACUUUUCAUUGAUCAAGAGCUAUCAUCAAGCCCUCGAUUACGCUGUGUGAAUGACUGCAUGGACAAGCAUCUUUUUUUUUUCAUUAAUAAACCAAUAUUUAUGCA
rnacentral:lncRNA from 1 species